CUCAUCCUCAUUAUUUCCUCCAGUAUAUUGCAUUUUAAUAGCAGUAGCAGCACUUUACAGCAGCUGAUAACGGCCCCACUCAAGACCAGGAUCACAUUAUGCAAGACUCAGUGCUGAGAGAUACUCAGUGGCCCAUCACUUCUAAUGUGUGCAUACAAGAUGCCUGUGGUAGGGAAGAGCACGGAAAUGGUUGUUCACCAAGAUGCUCAGCGUAACAAACAUUGAGUCUGAAGUUGUACUGAUAAGAAUUCAACGUUUCUCGCUCUUAAGUGUAUCACUUACAAUGUGAAACAGACGUGCAUUUUCCUUUUACAACAUUGUAAGUGUGCACAGAUGUUAAAAAACGGAAGCCAUUGAAAGAACUUGAAAACCUAUCUUUUAGGAACUGGUUUUCCAUCUACUAGACAGUCUGUCACAUUCUGUAAUGUAUGUGGAGACUGGCUCACCUGGCUAUAUUUUCUUUUACGUUUUCAUGGUGUCCCAAUGUGUAAGUUGCAGAUAGUAUAUUUGCAAACCAUAAACACUUUAUGCACUUUCAUGUUAUUUUUGCAUGAAGGUCAGGACAGCAUGAAAAGAAACCUGUGCAUGCAUAUUCUCAGAACAAUAAGUAAGCAGCUGUAUGACACAAGGGAACACUUUUUACUUCAGAUACUGACAUCACAGUGUUUGACAAAAAUGCGAUUAACCCUAAUGAAUCUAAGUUGGUAUUUGCAGGUGCAGCUUCCUGCCAAGCUUCAGUAGUCAUCUGCUUCAGUUUUUGUGUCAUCAGCACAAUGGCUCGAGACAGUGCAUAUGAUACCUGAUACUGGGUCAGCAGCAGCUGGGGGAGAACUAGAGACAUCACAUUACUUGUAUGACCCUGUAUUAUGCAAUGGCGACUGUUAGAUCUGCUUAUUGUCUCACGGUGAACGCCUACAUAUCAAUCUCCAAAUAAGUCUGUGAUGAAUAACUACAUUUAUUCUCCCUAUAGACCACAGUUGGUGAUGAUGCAGAUACUUGUUAAGAUUUAAAAAUAACUGCUUUUUUUUUUUUUUGACCAUCACAGCACUCCCUUUGCUGUGGACGUACUUUUGUCUUCAUCCUAUGCAAGAAUAUGGAAAGUGGGCUUUUUUUCACAGAAACAUGUACCGCUCUGCGCAUGCAAAUAUCGAACCUGAGAAACUAAGGCUUGUUUUUGUUUGGCCGUGAGUAUCAGCACCACAGUCUGCCUUGCUUGUGUUGUCAAUGAUCAUUUUAAAUUUGGCAGCAAUAAUUUGAGAUAAAUCGGCUAAUUAGACGCCCAGGUAAUACUGCAGUUGAUACUUCCUGGCCUGUCAGAUUCUGGUAUUUCCUUAACCUCAUACAUUGCCUCUUACUUAUUAGUUUCAGUGCUUAGAUUUGAUCUGUUCUGAUCAAUUUUAACCGAAUGCAGUGGGGGAGAAAUGAAUGGGCUAGUUGUUGUUUACAGUAUAUUUUACUGGAAAACAAUACCAAAUGUAGGUCUCUGCCUCCAUACCUCUGCUCUCCCUGUAAUGAAGCUAACUGCUUUUAAUUAUAGCUUGUAGAGACACUGCCGAAUUACUUAAUCUCCGUUUAAAGUCUGGAUUCUGGUUUCUUAAUUGGCAUCUGAAUGUUUGGCAGCUUUGAAAAAAGUCCAAAGCUAAGAGAGAGCAGGGUGAAAUGUGUUCCAUGAAUAAAUGUGUCUGACCUCUAUACUAUAAAGUCUUAAGAAACAGCAGAGAUUGAACGUUCGCGUGCCUUUACCAUGUGAGCUUUUCAUCCAAUUGUGACGUUGCUUGCAAUAACUAGAAGCUCCAAGAGCAGAAGAAAUCACACUGUUCUUGAAACGAUCCGCUGAGGUGGAAAAAGGGAAAAGAGAUCAGGUAUUCUCAUUUUCUUUUCAACUGAGACGGAAGUCGAUUUGGAAAUGUUCCUUGCUGAAACUGAAGUUGCAUUUCCAGUAGUUGGGAGGAGCUCCCAGAUUACAUUACCCCACCCACGUCUGGUUGCUUUCGGUUUACCUCGGGAAAUUCUACAAGGAAACUGAAGGAGAGAAAGCACAGCAGCAAAAGGAGGAGCACAGAGAACCUAUCUAAAAAGAUAAAAAGUUAAAGUAGUGCUUUAAACAGGUAUGCCCUCAUUUUGAGUUAUGUUCAGCAGAGGUAACGAGUGGCUAGCAGUCUGUUUAUGGGGCAUGGCAUACUGUGUGUAUUCAUAAAUCUCAUUUAAAGCAGAUCACAUCACCAAUUUGUUCACCCCUUGAUGAAACAGUGAGUUAGAUCCUCACCUAUUGACCACUGUCAAAGCUCUACUGACUUCAGGGAGAAGUGUCUUAACUGAAGGAUCCAGUCUGCAGUAUAGAGAAGCCUCAUUCUUUGAAUGCUGAGUUUGAUAUGGCUUCCUUUCAGCCAGCUCGUAAUGAGUGCCACAUACAUUCAGACAACUUUUUUGUAAUAAUAAUACUUAUCUUCUGGUUUAGAGAUAAUUCUGCUAUCCUGAAGAGGACCUGCAAAUGGAUAAUGACAGGAUUUAGGGCUUAUUGGCAACCAGCUAAGACAUGGAAGUCAAAUAGGAAGAACUGGAGCUGCCUGAAAAAUUCUUCUCAUACACCAAGGAACACGGAACGCUCUUAAAGCAUCUGGGCCGUGUGAAGGUGCCUUUGCAGUGCCCACAAAGAGAAUGAGACUUGGAAGACAGCUUUUAACUGUGGUUCCUGUCUUUGGGAACACAGUUGAAGUCAUAUUAAGCCAGAUUAAGAGCUCAAUACCUUCAAAUCCUUUAAAUCUCAGCUGGGAUCGAAGAUACUCAGCAAUGUAUAGUAAGGACAAGUUAGUCCAGAAAGGACUCGGAUGUGAAUUAUGCUGGAUAAGUUUCUGAGGAUUUGGAAACUCUACCAAGCAGCAGUAACAUCAAGCACUGUUAACAGCAACUGUAGUUUUCGCACUGAGAUGCCUCGUGAGAUGCAAAUUGGAAAAAAGGAGGAGAAAUGAAUAAAGAUGAUUUUAAAAUGUGACACAGUAAAGUAUAGACUACAAAGUAUGGGAGUUACUGAGAAUGUUGGGAAAAUAGGAAGCUUUUAUUUCUCUAAACCCCCCCAAACUCUGCAGCCUCCUAAGACUGAAAGGAACUUAAUUAAUGUUCCUUGCUGUCAAUGUUCUGUAUGCCACUCCACCUUCUCAUUCCCUUUUCUGCUGUCACUCAGGAGACUAGGCUUCCCAAAGUAGGCUUUGAGAUUUGGGAGUACUUGUUAAGAAAGACAGGAUAUGGCAGAACACCUCACAGUGGUGCUAGGAUCAGACCUCAGAAUAAUAAUUUCAUUUCUGAAAACCUUUCUCAGUAGAUUCACAAGGUGGGCUUGUGAAGCAUCAACGCCAUUUCAAGACAGUCUUGUUUAUGAGGUUUUACAUGGAAGAAACAGAUCCAUUUUGAAUGUAACUCUUCCACAAAAUAUUGUCACAAAUAAAUUAUAAUAUCGGGCAUCAUACCAGAUGCUUUGCUUUGCUGCUGGAGCCUGAGUACUAUGCUUGGUGUUGUCUGCAUUGUAUUAAAGCAUGGCUGAGUUUCACUCCAGCUGCUAUCCCUAGGGCCCUCAUGAAGAGGAGAUUCAUAUCUCGUGAGAUUACCCCACCGAGCAAAGAAAUGGAAUAAAUAAUACUACUCUUUUAGUUCUGUCAAGAAUAGUAGCUCACAGAAAGAGCUUUUAAAGGCAGUGUCAGCAUGGGCUAGAUACGGCACCAGUGUGGAAAAAAAAGACAUCCUUUACAGGAACAGCACUGCAAAAUGAGGCCAAUGUGAGCCUAAUGGGUGGUGGAAAACAGUGAGCCGUUUUUUUCUCCUCCCUAAUGCAAGCCUGCAGGGGUUUAUUUGCCAGCAUGUAUGAGUCUUAGGGCAAAUCAUCUUGAUGAAACUCUACUACAACAGGAGCUCAAAAUAAAUCAUUGUAGUAGCGGGGAUCUUAUUUGGAACCAAUUAGAGUUUGUGCAGCUUGUUUCCCCUUGACAGCUUUAAUGAAUCUAUCAACACAAAAGUACCAGGACAUAAAAGAUUUUACAGUAGUCUCCAUUAGGAUGAAGGCCACCAGCUAUCUAGUUCCUUCCGCAGUACUAUGCAGUGCUUUUAAAAGAUGAAGAAGGUUGUUAUGAUAAGGUAGUCAUGUGUGAAGAACCAGGAGGGCUAGAAAGAGUUGAAUAAUUUUGUGGUAUUGUAAAUGGAGGAGGAGACGCUCCCCAGGACAAUUGCUCUUCCCUAAGCUGCAGAAAGACUUGCAAAAACCUGCUUGAAAUCUAUGCAAACUAACUCAGCUAGGUACAGUAAAUUCCAAAAUCCUGUAUUACCAUUAGAGGAAAUGAACUCUCUUUAUUUGUCGUUGGCUGUAACAUAGCUUCAUAUUAAAAGUUCAUAGCAUAUUUCCAAAAUACGUUAUGCCAUUUGGUUACAUUUCAUCUGAAAAUCACAGAAAGUCUGCUGUAUCAUCUCCAGUCUUUGGUGAGUACAACCACCGCGCAACAAUCUGCUGAACACUAUUCCCUGGCUCUUACUGGAGUUCUGUUCCUGCUUCAUUUAACUCUUCAGUGCACUCUAGACUGAUAAUGUCUGCCUAAGUGCGUGAAAAAUAGCAUAGUGCUGCUUAGAAAAGGAAGAAAAAAGGUAUAAGCUCAACAGAGACAUUAAGAAGGGGAGGUUCUGUUGAUGAGGGGAGGUUCUUGACUGUGUAAAAGUGCAGUCCUGUCUGUAUUGUUAUCAUUUUCCUUUAUCAUCUCAUGUGUUGUAACAAAAGAGAGUGUAAUUAUCCAGUUCUAAGUGUGUGAGUCAGGGAGAAAAUAUGAAACAUAGUUGUUUAAAAAGCUACUUAAAUUUCUGUUGAGGGUUUUUACAAUGUCAGUAUAAUUGGAAUGAUGUUUUUUGGGGGGGAAAUAUUCAAUGUGCUGUUUCCACCCAAAGAUAAGGAACUAUUGUACCCAAGCUCUUCAAAGCUGAUUAGUAAGAAUGGAGGCAAUGGUUACAGCUACGGUGAACCUUAACGCAUCUCAAACUCUGUUCUUAGCUGUGCAUCAGGCAAUUACAGCUGUUUUUAACUUCCAGUCUUUAAAAGGAAAUGGACUUGAUAUUUUAAAGGAUAUUAAAAUACUAAGCAUCUUUUAAAGGCUAUUGUAAAUAAAACUUACAACCAAACGAAUUAAAAGGGAAUGGAACUUUGGGAUGUCAUUACAGUAUUUUCUUACAGGUUUCCUGUGUAACACUCUUUCCUCCAAAGGAAACUCGGUAGACCAGGGAAAAGAAAGAAUUAGUGCUGUUUUAUGUAAUGUUAUUUACUCUUUCAUGUUCCGUAGGACCUCAUUAGAAGGAUGAUAGAUGAGUUCCAGCAGCGUGUGCAUGUUAUAAUAGGCAGUACAAAUGAGAUUAUAAUAUGAGAAUCCUUGAUGAUGUGCAGGGAAUUAAGAGGCAGUAGCACAUAUAUAUAGGCAAACGUGUUCAGGGGGAUUGAACACUGGGUAAGUCUUUCCAAGAGAGGAACUACAGAGCUGGAGGCUGAAUUAAAGGCCUCAAUCUUCAGGAGUCCAACCCCUGUGCAAAGCGGGCUGCACAGGUGGGCGCCCAGACGGGUGCUGAAUUUCUCCAUAGAAGGAGACUCCACGACCUCCCUGGGCAGCCUGUUGCAGUGCUCCAUCACCCUCACCGUGAAGAAGUUGUUAUGCUAACUGGUAACAACACAAACUCGCCCUGCGUGGGUAACGGGAAGGGAACCUCUCUCUGUCUGCUGAGUGGGAGCUAGGCAAAGCGGUUUGCAUUUUUGGUUUGUGCUUUUUGUGUGGGUGGGAAACAGAGAUUUCUUCUUUGAUCAGAGGCCGCUUGGACUUUGUGUGGUGAUAUAACAAACUGAACGUCUUUUAGAGUGAAAACCUUUUUCAAACAUUUCUUAACGAUGCAAGCAGUGUCGUUUGAAAACUGUUGUACUCUGAGCUCACACCUUCUCCU